CCUACGGGUGGCAGCAGUGAGGAAUAUUGGUCAAUGGACGCAAGUCUGAACCAGCCAUGCCGCGUGCAGGAAGACUGCUCUAUGAGUUGUAAACUUCUUUUGUAAGAGGGUAAACGCUGACACGCGUGUCUGUUUGCAAGUACCUUAUGAAUAAGGAUCGGCUAACUCCGUACCAGCAGCCGCGGUAAUACGGAGGAUUCAAGCGUUAUCCGGAUUUAUUGGGUUUAAAGGGUGCGUAGACGGUUGGAUAAGUUAGUGGUGAAAGCCUGAGGCUCAACUGUAGAAUUGCCUUUGAUACUGUUCGGCUAGAGAGUAGUUGCGGUAGGCGGAAUGUAUGGUGUAGCGGUGAAAUGCUUAGAGAUCAUACAGAACACCGAUUGCGAAGGCAGCUUACCAAGCUACUUCUGACAUUGAGGCACGAAAGCGUGGGGAGCAAACAGGAUUAGAUACCCGUGUAGUC
rnacentral:rRNA from 1 species